AACGAACGCUGGCGGUAUGCCUAACACAUGCAAGUCGAACGGCAGCACAGUACUUGCUUGCUAUUACGGGUGGCGAGUGGCGGACGUUUCAGGUGUGCAUCGUACUCUACUUUUUCGUUGGGGUUAACGUAGGUAAACUUACUCUAAUACCGCAUACGACGUACGGUUGUGAGCAGGGGAUCUUCUGGCCUUUUGCGGAUGAAUCAGCCGAUGUCGGAUUAGUUGGUUGGCGGGGUAAAGACCCACCAAGGCGACGAUCGGUAUCUGGUCUGAGUGGAUGAUCAGCCACAUUGGAGGUGAGACACGGUCCAGACUCCUCCGGGAGGGAGCAGUGGCGAAUCGUGGGCAAUGGGGGGAAGACUGAUCCAGUCAUAUCGCGUGGGUGGAGAAGGAGUUCGGGUUGGAAAGACCUUUUGUUGGGAGAGAAACGCAGCAGGUUGAUACGCAGCUGUUAUGACGGUACCCGAAGAAUAAGCACCGGCUAACUUCGUG
rnacentral:rRNA from 1 species